rnacentral:rRNA from 1 species
UACGAACUGUGCGAACGUUAUUCGGAAUCACUGGGCUUACAGGGUGCGUAGGCGGCUUUUCAAGUCAGAGGUGAAAGCCCAGAGCUCAACUCUGGAAUGGCCUUUGAGACUAGAGAACUAGGGUACGGGAGAGGUGAGUGGAAUUCCGAGUGUAGAGGUGAAAUUCGUAGAUAUUCGGAAGAACACCAGUGGCGAAGGCGGCUCACUGGCCCGUUACCGACGCUCAGGCGCGACAGCGUGGGGAGGCAAACAGG